CCGCAACUGAGGGCUGAGCAGGAAGAAAGGAAAAGCUGGAGAUGCAAGAGGAUGGAAGUUGAUGCUAAAGGAAUCACUUUUUCUUUUCUUCAUCAGAAAGAAACCAACCUCAUAUUAUCUGCUCAUUUCACUACCAGUUGCUCUGUGCCAGAAAGCAAUAUCCAUUAUUACUGGAAAGAAUUUUGAAUGAGUCACUCACAAAGAGAGAAAAUGGCCGUUGGAUUUGCCAAACUCCAGGCUGGCUCCUCCUACCUCCUUUACCCAAAAAACAAAAGCAGGGUUUUCAGGGGCCGUACGGGUGCAUUUUAUUACAGUGACUGCAAGUAAUCACUUCAGCUGGGAUCAAACCUUUGACCCUUGAAGUUGCAGGACUGUCAGCAAACUCAGACUUCUUCAAAACAGAUACUGUCCAUGUGUAAUUCCAGCAGUGGCUGCACCAUUCUGUACUAACAGAGACCAAUACACACAGACAGACAACCUCAUACAAACACUUAUGGUUAAGAUCAACAUA